rnacentral:tRNA from 1 species
GUGUCUGUAACUCAGUGGAUAGAGCAUUUGUUUACUACGCAGUAGGUUGUAGGUUUGACCCCUACCUGAUGCG